UACAUCAAUAGGUUACUUUGUUUUGUUUAGUGAAAGUAUGUAGUCAUGUGGAGAGGUGUUUGACGAUUAUAGCAUUCUUAAUUAAAGAGAACCGUGUUUUGCUGGACUUUGCAGUGGUGCCCAUCUCAGACGUAAUAAGGGUUCACACAGGUAAUAUGUCAAUUGCCUAGUGACUUAAUGAAGAACAUAUACUAUCUGCUUGUUCCAGAAACACCCUAACAAAGCUGAUGUUCAGUUGAGCAUGGAGACAAGGGCGAGAGGAUGAGUGGAGGCCGGGCCAACAUGUUCUCGACUUCCUAACCUCUACAGGUUGUAGAUCCUUCAGUAAAGCUCUAGUUAGCAUCCAUUACCCGAUUCACUCCCUGUAAAAGUUUCUGAAAAUUUAUCUGUGUUUGAAGAGUUUACUGUCAACACUAGUCGUGUCUGAGUCGUAGGACCAUGGUUGAUUAGGUUGAUUAGACGGUCCAAGAGGAAGAAUAUGCGAUGCCUUGUCUGAAGGAGUGCUGUCAUUUACCUUGGCUGCUGAGGGCCAUAAGGCAUCAAUUAAGCAUUGCUAAUAUUUUCCUGUAAUGUCACCCAUGAAAUGAAAAUUUAGCAAGUGAAACUCAGUGGGAUUAUUGUCUUUAAAGCACUCAUUAAUAUGCGCGCUCACAGAACAUCAGGUGCUUCUUACACAUCAAGAUAUGUGUCCAUGUAAUGGACGUAGCAAGAAACAGACUGUAGCAAGACGUGGAUUCAUGAAGCUCCAUAGGAGACAAGUGAUGGCAUUGCUCUGUCAACUUCGCCGAUACUUUUUAGGAACAUGGUUCCCCUAUCCAGUAUCAUAAAGUGCUUCCGGGUGAGUGUCGUAUCACUCCAUCCAAACCGUUAGCGCAUGCCUUGUUUACGUGCAUGGGGUCAAGGUAUGGGAUAGAGGUUCUGAUAUUGCUAGUAUGAGUACCUAGAGGGGGGUGAAUAGGUAUAUAAAGAAUUUUUCUCAAGCAAUUGCACAAUACUAGACAGUUGGAGGAAACGAUAAUCAAAGUAAGACUGAGAGAAGAGAAAAUUUAACACGCGGUUUAUAGUGGUUCGGCUUAUAUCAAGCCUACAUCCACUCUUCUUCACUGACAGCCUAUUGGCUGGAUUCCACUAUGAACAAGAAAGAGGUUACAGCACAGCUUUGCCUUGAUUCCACAGUGUAGAUGUUCUACCAUACCUCCUCAAGAUUUCUCACAAAUAUAGACUCUCUUUCGUAUACAAGUAUUCGCUCAAAGGAUUUGUCUAAACAAAAAGGAGCUUCAGACUUUGGAAUUCUUCUAUCGCGCACACCUUGAACAACUAAGACAGUCUUCCUUAUAUACUCCUUUAUGCCAUCAUACCCGUUGGCACUUACCAAAGGAAUUCCUCCAAUCUACCCGUUGGACGGAAUCAAUUAGGAAGAUUGUCCAAGCUAUUAAUGGAACGUGUUGAUAGCCCAUCAAUCAUGUUCGCCCAUACAAUCAGGAUCUCGGUUUCCAUAAGCAGAACCUUUCCAAUAAUAUUUAGGCAAUCACCGGAUCUUCAAUUAUCGAAUCAAUCUUCGAUCAAUCGAAGGACUCCGUUUAUGUCUUCUCCAGCCAUGAGAUCUUCUCCAGUUGAUAAGGUUAAAUCCUCAACGAAACAUCCAGUUCUGGAUAACCUUUCUUCAACGGAUUAGAGACUGUCAAUGAGGAUAGACUUUGAGUCUUGAGUCUGGCUGUCCCAAGGUCUUCAGACUUUAAAUAGCAGAGUCUGCAAACCUUCAGACUAGACUGAUAGAAACGAUUUGUCAACUUCAAAACACUUCAAGAAGAUUUCUCCAACAGGUUCUACAUGCAUGGGGCCGGGAUAAAGGUUCUUCAUCCAUGAUUUAGACAUCGUACUUGCUUGCAAUUCAAUUGCACUCUCGCUACCAAAAUGAUUUAAAAAAGGUAAUUAUCUGUCUAAGUAUGAAAGAUCAAUAGAAAAACAGGAGCAAGUUAUCUAAAUCCAAAGGCAAUGCUUUAAGCAUUAGCAUGUUUUUAAUAUGCUUAGCAUUCUUGAGGCGAAACAUUGGAUAGAAUAUGUAGCACAACCUCACUCAGCCUAUUCUGAAUUUAAAAAAUGGGGAUCCUCAUAUUAUAUAAGCCGAGAUGGAACUUAGAAAGUGACAUAAAGAGACCAAAAAAAAUCGAAAGAAUAUGACCUAUCAGAUGUAAUUGGUUUUGGCAAGUGGUUUUAUGCCUUCAGAAUAUUGUGGCGCUUUAUGCAUAUAGAACGCCAAGGUAUAUCCAAAUACACACUCUAGUUUUUAUUUUUUACUUUAUCUAAACCAUGUAAUUGAUGCUUUUCAGUAUUCCUUUUAUUUUCAUGGCGUAUCAAUAUGUACACGUAAAUUCACAUGAUAGAAGUAACCAUCACGAGGAAGUCUCUGAUUCUAUGAGAAAAGAAGGGGAAGAAAAGAGGAGAUGAUGAGGCCGAGCCAGAGUGAAAACGCCAUUGUAUGACAACACGUUUCGCUGUUCAAAAGAAUGGUCACGAUGGACCACGGUGACAUGGCGAAGAAAACGAAAAACGACAUUAACUGUCCUCAAGCCAAAAGUGAUCUAUUUUACCAUUUAUUCGAAGAGACUUACUUGCAAAACCUUUUCCUCUUGACACACUUUCACACUUGCAUUAUGUAAUUUACAUGGCCGAUCUCUUGUUAGGACCAGAGGCAAGGUUCCCUGUAGAUACGCCGGGCCUCUUCCUCGGCCGCCAUAUCCAAUUCUUGUAGUCUAGAGCCUUGUCCUCAUAGAUAUCCCACCACUUCUUGACCCAAAUCUUGAUGCCUUCUCUCUGCAUGUUGCCUGUGUUCUCUUGCCAAGUGUACAUCCAUGGCUUCGAACCCUGAAAAAUGAGAUUCUAAUAAUCAGCAAUCUAUCAUACUGAACAGGCAUGUCAGCAAUUAAAAGAUGUAUAUGCAUUGUGUAAGGAAGUGGGCAAAUUGCACAUGUAUCGAUCACUCACCGCCUCGCAAUAGUGGACGACCUUCACCUCCUCAAGGUCCACCUUCUCCGGGUGAUGCCAUAGCAUCGAAAGGGGAAGGUUGUACUCAAGAGGGAGAGGCUUGUAUAUGUGCCUGAAGUACAUAUUCAAGAAAUCCUGCAACUUGCCAAAAUCAAUCCAUUGGGUGACGUUCCGGGCCAUUAUCAAGCAUUGAAAUGGUGCGCAGUGUAACAUACAACAUACCUGCUGGGCGAAUGGAGUGGGAGGGGUGGUUCGAAGAGUGUUCAAGAGGUCGUUGUAGGCGGUGAGAUUGGGCUCGAACACGAACAUGCUGUCAUCGAAGUAGGGGGACGGGGGCGGGCCCAUGUCGUCUCGCCACUGGACCUUGUCAGGGCAUUGCUGGCAGUAACCAAUCGCGUACUGGGGGGUGUGGCUCCAUGUCCUCUCGCAGAAGCAAUCCAGCACGGCGUAGAAGUGGCCGUCCUCCAUGUUGAAAGAGGUGGUCGAUGUUCUCGUUCACCUGUAUGCUGCCAUCCAGGUAUACCAUCUUGCUGUACUGCACAAACUGCGUAGCAUAAAACAUUUUUAGUACCCAAAAACAGACGAGACUUUAUAACGAGUUCAUGUUUCAAACUACUCGCUUCAUCACUUAAUUCGUCAUAUCACCACGUUAAAACAUCAUAAAAGUGCGAAGGGGGACUCAAUUAUGAAAUUAAUCUAUGAAAUGAAGAUCUUGAACUAUCGGGUGGGUCACUUUUCAAUCAUUAAUAGGAGAAGCCCCGAAUGAAUCCGUCCUUGUACCUCCCAAACACCGAGCUUGGAGUAGUUGAUGAAGUAAUCCGCCAUUGCAAACGGGGUCUGGUUCCCUUGCGGGCACACUGGCUUGAUCUUCCGGACCCUGCAGCCCUGCUCCUUCAGAAUGCGCUGGUGAUCCACCGGCACGUCUGGCAAGACAGCCACCACCAACGGGUACGUCGACUUCACCUUCCUCAACCCCUUGACCAGCCCGACCACGCCCUGCACUGAGUCACCUUUGCCGGCCACGAACGUCACGUAGGCCCGGGACCAAGUCGGGGCGGGCUUGGUGGGAGCUGCGGGGUUUGCCGAGGCGCCAACAACUUUGGGCACUUCAGGGACGCCGACAACUUAAGGCACUUCGGGCAGCCGAGAGGUCGUGGUGGGCUUGGCAGGAGCCGCAGGGUUCGUCGAGGCACGGACAACUUCGGGCGCCAUAGAGUGGUGGGAAGGCGGUGGAGCUCCCGUACAGAGCCGAGAGAGAGAGAGAGAGAGAGAAAAGGGGGGCGGGGGGCAAGCGGAUCAAUGCGAUGCCUAUGGCAUAAAGAAAUGUGGCUUAGGUGAAUAAAUAGAGGAGUCGGCCAAUAUAAUUUUAUUAAGCUGCAAUUUUACGAAUGCCGGACGGUGGUACACGUGUUGGAUUUGGUGAUCUGACUGUAGAGGAUGAAGCGGUCAGUGAUAGCCGGGAGCCGGAUGACUUGAGCAAGUGACUGUCCAAUAGCAACACACGCUAAAACAAAUAUACAUUUUAGAGUAUUAAUCCGUGAUUCCAAACGCGGAAAUGAAUCAAUGUGGCGGUACGCGUGGUGGGGAUCUGACUUUAGAGGUUUUCGCCACGGACGGGUUUCAACUAAUGUCUGAUUCGUCUGGACGGACAUCCAAUAGAGCAACCUACCGGAGUUUCCGUCCCAUUAAUGAGAGUAUUUUUUUUUUAACAAAUUAAGAUUGGAUUUUUGUACCCGUGAUCCGACGAAUGCCAAAUUAUAGAGAAACGGUGGUUGGAGAGACUUUAGAAAUUUUUUAAUUAAAAAUUACAUUGCGAGCUUUACCCUACACAACGGUCUAGUUCAAAUAGUCAAAUCUUGACGUGGAAUCGUAAAUAAAGCCAAUAAAAGACCCAAUCCUGUCAAUUCCAGAUAACAUAAUUCCAUCAAAUUGUAAUUUCACUCUUUGAAGUUUCCAGUCUACAUCUUGGAGAAAUCUUGUCUUCCAUCCUGUUCCCUUCGCUGCGUAUUCUCCUCCGACGGCAACGUUCGAUUGGUGAAAGGUUCGUCACGAUCUUAUUCAAACAUACAAACAGAUAAAAAAAAUUAUUACGACACUUUUAUCGGUAGAUUAAUCGCGUUCUCAGUCAAUUAUAUUGGUAUUAGAAUUAGAAUUCACCCACCACAAGGUUCCACGUUGACGUGAAAUGAAAAAAUUAGUCUAAUAUUUUGCACACAUGAUGUAAAAAAGUUGUGUAACGUAAGAGCAAUGUGAGGUUCAUUUAAACUGGUCUUGCCUCGGUGAAUAUUGCAACGGGAGUCCUUGAAACGUUGCCUAUCUUCAAAUCUCACUGAAUAGCCGUGCCAAAAAAUUAAAAGCCUCACUGGUGACAGCGGUUCCGUUUCAUGGACAACAACUGGGAUCUGAGACCUAUGUUCAGGACGAGAUCGAUCAUGCGGCGGUUCUCUGGUGAUUGUUCAUAAAAGGAAGAAGAAGAAGACGAUGACGGAGACAACCAAGAGAGACCUCAAGAAGAAAAGAAAAAGGGCUGGGUGCUACCCUAGUGCAUGUCCAUGCACGUGCACAAUGAGUUAAAAAUAGGCAUUCUUUCACAGGCUCUCCACUAUCCUGCGAAACUCCGAACUAUUCUAUUCCCAUAAUAUUCUAUUUCCAUUAUAAGCAAAGCUAAUGGAAAUAGAAUAGUUCGGAGUUUCGCAUGAAGACUACAUGUCUUAUGAUUAGUAAUCAUGAUCAUGAUUUUCCACUCCAGAAUAAUGUCCCUGAUUAUGCAUUGCCCUUUUGACCCUAGACACGUGUUUUUUAGCCAGGAGAACUUGAAUUUGCAUUUAGGGUCAAUCUAAACGGUCCUUUUUUACUUCGGCCGAACUUCCACGGUUAACUGCCAUGAUUGGCAACGAUGGCCAUCGAGCUCUAGGUUAAGUCUAGUGAGGGCUUGGAGAGAUUCGUCGGUGGCCAGGGUCAGCUGGGUCGCCCCCUUUCUCCAGCCGUGUGUGUGAGUCAUUGGACCAUGGUUGAUUAGGUUAAUUACUAGACUAACUGGCCAAAAAUUGUGGUAUCAUGCUCAUGGAUGUGUAGUUGACCAGACGGUCCAAGAAAAAGAAAAAAAUCAGAAUAAUCGGCUUCUCAUCUAGUGCCUUGAGUGAAGGAGUGCUGCCUAUAAUCUUGGUUGUGGAGGGUCCAACGGCAACGUUUAAGAAUUGCUAAUAAUGUCCAGUAAAGUCGCACAUCAAAUGAAAAUUAAGCAAGUGCAAACGUUGAAUUAGUGUCUUUAGAUCAAACGUUGAAUUAGUGUAUUUAGAUCACUCGUUAAUAUACUCACCCACAAAAUGUCAUAUCCCGAUGCAUCAAAAUAACAAAAAUUGUAGCAUGACUUGUCAAAAUCUAACCAAACUGGUUUCGGCAAGUGCAGUUUUAUAUCGAAAAGAUUUACACAUAUAGAACGCAAAGGUAUAUAUGAAAAGACUCUAAUUUUUAUUUUUGCAUGUAAUCUAAAUCAUAUAAUUGAUUCUUUUCGAUAUUAUUUUACUUUCAUGGUUAAUCAAUUUGGGCACUGUAUAUGUGGAGGGAAAGUGGUCAAGUUCGCUUGCACAGAGAAAGAGAGAGAGAGAGAGAGAGAGAGAGGGGGAGGGAGCUAAGUAGUACCGACACGCAACACGGACACGUGAUACGACAUGACACACCAACACAUCAUUUUUCAAAAAUAGAGAAUUCCGACACAUUGUGAUACAAUAUAUAUUAAAUAAAUAUUUUUAUUUUUAAUUAAUUUGAUUCAAUAAAAAAUAAAAAAAGAGCUUAUAAUAAAUUUACACUAAUAAUAUUAAUAAAUCUAUUUAUAGGAAAUUUGAAAGAUAUAUUCAUAGUUAAUACAUACCCAUAUUUGGAGACAUAUUUUUAACUUUAACAAAAAUUAUGGAUAAAAUUAAUGACUAAUAAAAAAAUAAAAUCAAUUUAUUUAAAUAAAUUUAUGAUCUUCUAUAAUGAUCAAAAUUUAUCAUUAUUUACACAUUCAAUAUUUUUAUUUUUCGAAAUCACUUUUUAGCUCAUUUAUUUAUUUUUUUAACAAAAUAGCUUUGCCGCCUAAAAUUAUUUNNNNNNNNNNNNNNNNNNNNNNNNNNNNNNNNNNNNNNNNNNNNNNNNNNNNNNNNNNNNNNNNNNNNNNNNNNNNNNNNNNNNNNNNNNNNNNNNNNNNAAGGGCAGAGCAAUAGAGUAUGUUCAACUGUCUCCAUUUCACGUCAACAGAUGGCAUACAUAGGCUCGGUACGAUUUUCCUCUUCCAUAAAUUCUCCCUUGUUGGGAUAGCAUUUUGACGUGCACUCCAUAAAAAGAUUUUCACUUUUGAGUAAGUCUUUAAAUUCCAUAUGGAUGUCCAUAGUGUUUUCAUAGGCUGAAAUGAGGAUGAGGAUUGCUUUGUAUUUGGUUUACUAGCUACUUCAUGUCUGAGUAAAUUAUAAGCACUUUUCACCGUGUAGCAUCUUGAUUUUGUUCCCAUCCAAAAUAGUUCAUCAUUUGCAUCGUUGAGUUUAAUUGGAAUAGUGAGAAUCUCCUGCUUAGUUUGUUCAUAAAAAAGUUCACUUAUUUUUUGCACAUUCUACCAGUUCUCUUUCGGGCUAAUUAGUUCAACAACCUUUUGUGGGUCAUUUAUAUUCGCUGGACCACCAAUAAUACCCCUUUUCAGCCACCUGGGGGUGCGAAUGGUAAUAUUUAUGUUAUGGAAAAUAAUUUCUUUUCAGAAAUAGUUCUUUUAUAUUUCUACUUCUCAGAACAAUUUCUAAAUAAAAUAAUGUGUUUGGUAACUAUAUAAAAUUUAUAUUCUCAGAAUAGAAAAAGAAUAUAAAUGCAUUUGGUAUGAUCCACAAAAAGAAUAGGAGCGCAUUUGACCACUGCCACACGCUGUUGCCACCCGCAAUCUAUCGGCGAUGGUGGUUUACGGCAAAGGCGGGGGUUGGCAACAGCUGGGCGGCGAUGGCAGGUGGGGGAUGACAGCUCGCAAGGAGUGGCAUUGAAGAAGAAGAAAAGAAAAUGAGAAAAAAAGGACUUAUUUAUAGAAAUUGUUCUCAUGAAUAAGAAGUUCUUUUUUUCUACUUUUUAUUUCUAUUCUAAAUUUAUUCCCGGGCUACUUUUUUAUUCCAGUAAAUAAAGCCGAGAAUAGAAAAAAUAGUCGACAUUAUCAAAUGGAUUUCUAUUAUUUUUUGUUUCGAGGAACAAAAGAACAUAAGAACAUAAGAACAAAAGCGCUCCCAUGCGUUACCCUAUAUGUUCUUAUGUCCACUUUCUCCCCAUUUCCUAUGGACCGCCUGGUUGAGUUCAAGAUUACUUCCCUUUCCAUGAGUAGGAUUUGCCAUCCCAAGAUGGUCUAGCACCUUUCUUUGCAUGCCAAAAAUUCCUCUUGAUGAAAACAUAUGCCUUUGAAAAGCCUGCUUCACAAAGGUUCUGGAUAUUUGAUUAAACGCCAUGCCUGUUUACCAAGCAUAACUUUGUUAAUAGUGAUUAAGUCUCUGAAGCCCAUGCCUCUCUUGUCUUUUCUAGUCUUCAAAAUUUCCUGCUUUUUCCAAUGUAACCCAGUCUUGGAGUCAUUAUUUUUCCACCAAAAUUUUGCAAUUCUCUACUCAAUGGCUUCACAAAUAGAAAUAGGAAUUUUAAAAAUGGACAUUGUAUAUUAUGGCAUAGCUUGAACUACUCUUUUCAACAUAAUUUCUUUUCCUACUUUUGAAACUAGUUAUUCAUUCCAUUCUUCCAAUUUCAUAUCCACUCUCCAAAAUCCAAGCAAACAUUUGCUUCUUUGUGGCUUCCAAUCUGAAAGGAUACCCAAGUACUUCUUUGUGUGGCUAAUUUCCGAAAUUCUUAGUUCCCUUGCUAUAUUGUCCCUCAACAAUUGAGGACACCCCUUACUAAAAUAUAUACCUAAUUUAUUCAGAUUUACAGCUUGCUCAGAAGCAUAACAAUAUUGGUUAAAUAUAGCUGACAAAUUUUGGCAUUCAAACAUUAAUCCAUCUAAAAAGAAGAUAGAAUCAUCCACGAAUAACAAGUGGAAUAAAAUUGGGCAUGAUUUGUUCAGCUUAAUCCUCUUAAUGCUCUCAUUUGCCACUACAUUGUUUACUAAGGAAGAUAGACAAUUGCCACAAGAAUAAAGAGGUAUGGUGAUAGGGGAUCACCUUACCUGAUGCCUCUCGUUGGUUUAGAGAAAGGAAAUGGCUCUCCAUUUAACUCUACACUCAAAGAAAUUGUAGCUAAACAUCGCGUGACCCAUCUAAAUCAUUUUUUGGAAAAGCCCAUUUUCAACAUUCAAGUUUCAAGAAAGUCCCACUCCACUUUAUCAUAUGCUUUUUGCCUAUCUAGUUUAAGGACAGCUUGAAACUUUUUCUUCAUAUUUCGCACCCUUGAUUGAUGUAGGACUUUUUGUACAACAAGGAUAUUGUCUUGAAUCUAUCUACUGCUCACGAAUGCACUUUGUUCCUCAAAUAUCAACUUAGGUUGCCAAGGCUUUAAUCUAUUAGCCAUAGUCUUAGAGAUGAUUUUAUACACGAAAUUGCAAAGACUACUAGGGCGAAACUAAUUGAGUUUUUCUGGGUUUAAUAUUUUGGUACCGAUGAAAUAUAGGUUCUAUUUAAAGCUAGUUCCAUAAUGCCGGAUGAGAAAAAAAUUCUCAACAGCCACAAAAACAUCAUGUUUAAUAAUAUUCCAGUGAAACUGAAAGAACAUACCAUUUAAACCAUCAGGACCUGGGGCUUUAGUCACUCCAAGUUGGAAAACCGCUAUUUGGAUCUCCUCCAUUAUGACAUCAGCUACUAGGAGAUCAUUCAAUUCAGCUCACACCGUUCAGGGGCAUGAAUCCAGUACUGGAGUUAUAUUCUUGGGCCAACCGAUGUGUAGAGGUCCCGGAUUUUUUUUUUUUUUUUUGGUAUUUAGAAUUUGGGCACAAAAAUUGAGGGUUUAUUAUGGAGAUUCCACCAUUAUUUUGGAAUACUGGGAAAAGAACAAGAGUCGCAUGAGUACUCUGUGGGACUUGACUGUAAGGGAAAUUAUUGGGAUUUUGGAAACUAGGGAGGAAGGAUUAAAAUUAGGGUUUGCUACCUCAAAAGGUAGGGAGAAAAGCUCUACUGAGAGAGUGGAGUGACUAGUAGUUAGCCGAGUUGCUCAGGAGCCUGUUCGUCUUCCCUAAUUGUUUUAGCUAUUCUCAUCACUCCAGGGGACAACGACACUCGUACGUGUGUGGCAGAUGAUGGCAGAUCGGACUGUAGGAAGAAGAGGCGGGGGGAGGUUCUAGAAUGGCCAUUUGAAGUCUCCACAAAACGGGGGAACCCCAAUUUGGCCUUUUAUUUUCUUGUUCCUACUUGCCAACUGGUGCCAUAUACUAGGGAAAAACUCCGAUUUUUUUUUUUUAAAUCACUAGUAGUUCUCUCGCCACGUUCUAAAAUUUACAGAGCAGGGUGAAAACAAUAUCAGAAGAUUCUUUCUUGUGACUUUUAGGAGUUGGCACCUUUUAGCUAAUGUGCAACUACAACUCCAUCACAUUUUGCAUUUUCCAAUAACCAGAAAUAGCCAUGAAGUCAAAAUCGAAGGAGAAAAAGACAGUCUAUAUCUAUAUCUGUAUAUUUAUUUUCGUUAAGUAGAAGGUAUUUCUUGUUGAACUUGUCGUCAUUAACUGUACAAACCAAUAUUUUUAGGAAAAUUGAUCUUUGAUGAAUAAGCUAUGAUUUUAAGAGGAAAAGAAGAGAUGAUGAAGCCAAAACCCAAGUGAAAAAGCCUUCGUAGAAUAAGCCUUCGUAUAAAAAGUUCAUUUCGGAUCAGAAUGGACAAUAAUGACAAAGCCAAAAAAGAAGAUGAAAACAUUGAUUGUUCUCAAGCCAGACUAUAUCUAUUUUACCAUAAACUCAAAGGAUUCUUCAUCCAUUUCCUAGACAGCAAUAUUUACACUUUUCUUCAUGCAAGUUAUCUGCACAAUCUCCAUUAGGCCGAGAUAAGAGCCAGCUAAGCGGCCAGUGGAGCCGUGAUGUACUGGGUUGCAUUAGCUUCUGAUAGGGCCGUUAUGAACGGCUUGGCCUUGCCCUCAGCUGCUGCUCGAGGGCAGUUCUUGGAGAUCCUUUCACACUUAGACAUAUACGACAUUCUACAUGGAUCAUACAUGCAUAAACCCCUUGUUGGUAAAAAAAGGUAGAAAACCUUCAUGUGAAUUCAGGAAAAUGUACGAAAAAUGAAAGGUUUUAUUAGGAAAAAAGGGGUUUAUCCCUCGAGACACUAAUUAAGCUAAUCAAAAAGAAAGAGAAAAAAACAGAAAGAAAACAUACAUCAAGACAAUUUCAAAAUCACAAAUCUACAUAAUCGAGGUGGUCAUUGCUUUUCUUUUGAGUGCUUCAGACAUAUCCCUGCCUGCUCAUGAAAUAGUUGUCUCAAAUUGUGGGGACUCUUUCAUAAAAAAAAAAAAUGGUAAUGUAUGAAGAACUCGUGAAAGGAUGAAGAUUUCUGGAUAGUUUGGUUAAUAAAGAAGUGUCGAUUCUAGAAAUAGUAUUAUCCAGGAGCAUUACAUAUGAAAAUCUUCAAUUAAGGUGUGCAAGGGAGCAAACACUCGUUGAAAUGGAUCGGAAGAUGAUGAUGUCGGUUGUUUGUCCUUGAAGUGAGGAGCUUCAAUUGUUCCUGCUCCAAAUGGUUGCGCCUAAUCAAUUGUCUCUCUGGGAUUCCAGACUCUGCUUAAGAUGGGCAUUCGAGGCAUUACUGUUUCAGGUGUUCGGGGUUUUGGUUCUCAGGGAGGCUCUACGGACAAGCAGGCUAGUAAGCUUCUUGUGCUGUUGAAUACUAAACCUUUCUUUUCUUUUUAAAGUAUACUAUGUUUAGCAAAAAAUGUGGGCUAUGUCAUAUAUGUGUGAUUUGGAUAGAGGAUUAAAUAUGUCAUCGAGUUAUGCUUUUACUGUUAUAUCUUUGCUGGUUCGAUUGCACAGGCUCUGAAUUUUCUGAAGAUGAGUUUCUAGCUAAAGCCAAGAUGGAGAUUGUGGUGAGCAAGGAGCGGGUAUUGUAUUACCAGCCAUUAAGUUGCUUUUUUACUUAUCUUCCCGGGAUGUGUAUAUUUUGCAUUUUUCUAGUAUGCUGAAUUAACUUAGGUUUCUAAUGGUGUGAUCUAAUCAGUUCCAUGAUUUACUCUUCCUUAGGUCGAAGCAGUAAUUGACAAGAUAAUCGAGGAGGCAAAAACAUGAGAGAUUUGUUAAAGGACAUGAAGUCAGGAAGUAUGCUGAGUCAACGAAGGCAGCAACGAAUGCUACUGAUUCAAUCAGAGUUAAAGACAAUAAGUUUAGUUCAGCUGAUAUGAAAAAAGACAAGCAAAAUAAAGUCAGCACGUGCUCAUUGAAGAAUCAAUAUUUUGUUUUGAGUUGUAACCAACAUUCUUUUUGUUAGUAUUUAUGUUAAGUCUGUUUUGAUAGUUUGUUUUUAGUCGAGCCUUUUACACUUUGUAAUAUAAAUAGAGAGUUGAAAGAAGAACAUAAAGAUAAGGCUCUCAGAUAUACUUUUCUUUGAUCUUGAAUGAAUACAGAGACUCCAUAGUUUUCUCUCAUCUAUGUUCUUUCUUCUCUGCUUCUUCAUCUCUGUUAUCUUCGUUUUCGUCUCUGCUUUCUUCUUGUCUUUCACAUGGUAUCAGAGCCAUUCCUGAGAGCAUAUAUCAUCUCAAAUGUCGAAAGUCACAACAGAUUGAAGAUUCAUUCAAGUUGAUAGUAAGAUCAAGAGUUUGUCGUGCAAAUACAACAUAGAUUUGUUCUCUGCACACCAUCCAGAGUUGAAAGUGCGAGAUGGCAGCAAGAACUCAAAAAUAUCAUUUCCCAAUCCAUGUUAACAUCUCUAACUUCGUUAUUAUCAAGCUAGCUGAAGAUAAAUUUCUUUUCUAGCAAGCACAAUUCCAUAGAUUCUUGUGCAGCCAGGAGCUAUUUGGAUUCGUCAAUGGAGAAAUCCCAUCACCUGCAUAGUUGUUACAGGUUGAAGUCGAAGGGAAUGUUACAGAAGCUAUAAAUCCUUACUACAAUGAUUGGGUCAAAAUAGAUCAGCUUGUAUCAUCUUGGAUCAGUGGAGCCGUUUCAAAAAAUAUAUUAAGUAUGAUAAUUGGCUUGGAUACUGCAUAUGAGGUAUGGAAAACUUUACUCAAUCGAUUCAUGCAAAAAUCUGUAGCUAUAGAGUUCGAGUUGAGAGGAAAGCUGCAAGCGUGUCAAAAGCGAGAUCGAGUACUGUUAGUUUAUCUCAGAGAGUAUAAAUCAAUAUGUGAUCAACUCAACGCAAUAGGAAAUCCCAUAGAUGAGAUAACAAAGCUGUUUGGGGUUCUAGAGGGAUUAGGAUCUAAAUAUGAGAACUUUAAAACCACUAUAUACCGCUUGAAACCUCAACUAAAGUAUGCCGAAGUAAUAUCACAGCUAGAAAGGUUUGAAGCAAGACUACAAAGUUACUCAUCAAGUCAAUACAACCCUAAUCUAGCAUAUUAUGGUCAAAGAAAAAUUGAAGUUCAGCAAAAGGAAGAACUUGACAGAGAAACUAUUCAGCAAAACUCUGGCUUUGGAGGUUCAAGGGUUAAUAGUCGUGGAGGACGCAGCUAUGGAAGAGGACGAUUUUUCAGUAAUAGAGGUCGUGGUUAUAGAUAUCCUGAAAGAGAUUUGAGCUACAGAUCAAAUAACUUCAACUAUGCACAGGUAGGGGUGUGCAAAAUACCCGGGAACCGCCCGAAACCGGACCGGAACCGCCCAGAACCGGCGAUUCUUGAGGGAAUCGGUCCGGUUCCCGGUUCCAAUUUUUCGGAAUUGGUGGGUACCGGUCCGGUUCCCAGUUCCAUGGGUGGAUCCAUCCACCCGGACCAGACCGGAACCUUUUUAAUAUUAAAAAAAAAUUACUAAAAGAAACCCUAUAUUAGAUCUCAUCUCCUCACUCCCUUCGUCUUCGGUUCUCUCUCCUUUUGUAUCUUCCUCGGUUCCUCCUAAUCCUUCCCGAGUGUCGACGCCGCCGCCGUUGCUCCUCCGCCGCUGUUGUUUGCCCCCUCGCGUCGGCCACCACCCGCCACAGCCGCGGAAAAUUGUUUCGCGAUCGUUCUAUGUUGAAAACCCGAUCAUAGACCUCCUCCUCUCCUUCCCAACUCAUAGACCUGACCGUUUUAUGUUGAAAACCAAAAUUGUUUAGUGUCAAGAUCGGUUCCAUGGAUCCACCCCAGAACUGGACCGGACCGGCGAUCCGAUUCCCGGGUGGAUCCAUGCAACAAAUGGGUGGAUCCCGGUUCUAAUUUUUCGGAACCGGUCCUUAGCGAGCGGUUCCCGGUUCUAGGCCGGGAACCGCCCGCCUGGACUAUGCACACCCCUAUGCAUAGGAGGGUCAGAGAUUUAAGCAAUUCAAUAAUAUAUCUGGCUUUGGUUUUAAUUAAGGAUUUCGUCCUUAAGCUGGCUCUUCACAAAGAUAUCAAGAAACCAUAUCAUAUCCCUCUUCAAAUCUAACAUUUUCCAAAGAUUUGCAGGUUGAGAAAUCAACUGACAAUAUUAGAUUGGAGUGUCAAAUUUGUAAACGCCUAGGACAUGGUGCACUUCACUGCUGGUAUCGCUUUGACAAUUCAUAUCAAGCUGAGGAAAUUCCAACAGCAUUAGCAGCAAUGCACCUCGAAGACUCAAAAGGAAAUGAAUGGUAUCCAGACACUAGUGCGACUGCUCACAUCACUGCAAACUCUGGUAUUCUUCAUAACCUUUCUAGAUACAAUGGCACUGAUACAGUUAUGAUUGGGAAUAGUUCAUGUCUACCUAUUACCUAUACUGGUAAUGCAUUGUUACAUGCUAAAGUGGAUUCAUUACCUCUGAAUGAUGUAUUAAUUGUUCCUGAUAUAAAGAAGAAUCUUCUAUCAGUAUCAAAACUAACAGAUGACUAUCUAUGUUCAUUUGUUUUUGAUAAAACUAGUGUAUAUGUAAAGGACAAUUACACCAAUACAACUAUGUUUCUCGUGAGGAAAGUUAAAGGAUUGUAUCGAGUAGAUCCUCAAACCAUAGAGGCAUCCUUAACUCAGAGACACAAAGCAGUAGGAGAGGAUAUAUAGCAUCAGCGUUUAGCACAUACCAACCUGAAAACACUUAAGUACCUGCAGAAUCAACAACUGAUUCACUGCAAUACCAGAGUACAGACUAUGUGUAGAAGCUGUCAAGUUGCUAAGAAUACUGCUCUGCCCUUUCCAUUAUCAGAGUCUGUAGCAUCUAUACCUUUAGAAAAGGUUCACCAUGAUAUAUGGGGUCCUUCACCAGUUAGUUCCUUUCAAAACUUCAAGUAUUAUGUCAUCUUUGUAGACAAUUUCUCUCGGUUUAGUUGGAUCUAUCCAAUGAGAUUGAUAUCAAAUUUCUAUGACAUCUUUGCUAUGUUCCAAAAACAAGUAGAAAAUCAAUUUGAUUGCAAAAUCAAGAUUUUUCAAUGUGAUGGUGGAGGAGAAUUCAUCAGCCACAAGUUUCAAACUCAUUUACAGAGUUGUGGCAUUAAACAAUAUGUAUCAUGUCCUUAUACACCAGAACAUAAUGGUGUCUUUGAAAGAAAACAUCGCCAUGUUGUUGAACUGGGUCUUGCCAUGCUCUAUCAUGCUAGAAUCCCUUUGAAAUACUGGGUUGAUGCAUUCAUGAUAGCUAACUAUAUUAUCAAUAUACUUCUUACACCAAAGUUACAAAUGCAAUCACCCUAUAGUAAACUGUAUCAGCAAGAACCAAGCUAUGAUCAUCUCAGAGUCUUUGGCUGUGCAUGUUAUCCUUGUCUUAAACCAUAUGCACAUCACAAACUUGAUCCACGAUCACUCACAUGUGUGUUUAUUGGAUACAGUGAACGUCAUAAGGGAUAUAGAUGUCUUAUUCCUACCACUGGUCGUAUAUACAUUAGUCGACAUGUCAUGUUCGACGAAAACUUCUUGCCAUUUACUAAGACAUGUGUAACAGAGUACACACCAUUUACAACACUGUAUCAACUAUGGACAAAGGAGGUUAAACUUCUAGACUCAAUGAGUGAAGGUCCAGUGUCUCCUUCUUCACAGAUAUAUGCAGCACAUUUGCAGGAUAAUGGAAUCAUGACCACAGAUAAUUGCCAUUCUCUUCAGUCAGCCACAAUGCCAUGUACUUCCUUUCCAUCACAUAUGCAAAUUGUGGCACAAGACAAUCUUGCUUCCAUAGCAACAACACAAGAUGAAACCUAUACUAAUCAAGCUCAUUCAUCUUCACAAGAUCAGGUAGUACCUGAUUCUGAAGCUGCAACAUCCAAUGAAAUAAGUGUUGACCAAGCUCAUUCAAACUAUCACUCUGACUCACAUGGUACAGCUUCAACUCAUCCCAUGCGGACUUGAUCAAAAUCUAGCAUUAUAAAGAUAAAUCCCAGAUAUGCAUGUCUUACUAAAUAUAAAGUACCUCCUGAACCAAAAUCAGUUAAAGUAGCUUUAGCAGAUAAAGGAUGGUAUACAGCUAUGAAGGAAGAAAUGGAUGCUCUGUAUCAAAAUCAAACUUGGCUAUUAGUUCCUCGAACUAAUCAAAUGAAUAUGAUAGGGUGCAAAUGGGUGUUUAAAACAAAACUUGCACCUGAUGGAAGUCUUGAUAGGUUGAAGGCUCGGUUAGUGGCUAAAGGGUUUCAUCAAGAGGAAGGCGUAGAUUUUACAGAAACCUUAAGCCCUGUUGUCAAACAUGCUACAAUUCGAAUAGUGCUUUUUGUAGCAAUGAUGAAACAACGGCCAAUUCAUCAACUUGAUGUUAAAAAUGCAUUUUUACAUGGCACAUUGAAUGAAACAGUCUAUAUGGAGCAGCCUCAUGGCUUCAUACAACCACAGAAACCUCAACAUGUGUGUCUUCUCAAGAAAUCUCUCUAUGGCCUUCGACAAGCACCCCGUGCAUGGUUUGAUAAAUUCAGUAAUUUUCUACUUGAAUUUGGAUUUUUCUGUAGUACGACUGAUCCAUCCUUGUUUAUACUCCAUGCUGGAUCAAACACAUUCUUCUGUUACUCUAUGUUGAUAAUAUUGUCUUAAUUGGUAGCUCAGACCAGUUACUUUCUAAACUGAUUCAUUCUCUCAGCCUUCAAUUUCAUAUGAAAGAUCUUAGCUACCUUCACUAUUUUCUUGGCAUUGAAGCUAAGCGUACUUCUACUGAUUUGUUUCUCUGUCAAACCAAAUAUGCUCUUGAUCUUCUUACUCAAGCUCACAUGGUUGAUUGUAAACCAAUUUCCACUCUUCUGUCACAAAGACCAGCUAUCCUAAAAACUGAUGCCAUUCCACUAUCCAAUCCUCUUGAAUAUAGAAGUCUAGUUGGUGGUCUUCAAUUCUUGACAUUAACUUGUCUUGACAUUGCAUAUGCCGCAAACUUGUUAUGUCAGAAAAUACAGAAGCCCACUGUUGCAAAUUUUCAUAAGCUAAAAAGGGUUUUGCGCUAUGUGAAAGGAACUAUUCAUCUUGGGGUGUUCCUUCAUUCUCAAAGUUCUAUGACUCUUUAUGGCUUCUUAGAUGCUGACUGGGUUGGCUGCACUGAAACAAGACAAUCCACUACUAGUUUUUGCACAUAUCUUGGUUCUAAUCUCAUUUCUUGGGCAGCAAAGAAGCAACCUACAGUUAGUCGCUCUUCUACAGAAGCAGAAUAUCGUGCUCUUGCAUCUACUAUUGUUGAUCUUACAUAGAUCAGCUUUGUCCUUCGUGACAUUGGUCUCUCUCUUUCUUCUCCAACCCUUUUAUUCUGUGAUAAUCAGCCAUCUCACUUACUGCAAACCCCAUCUUACAUGCUCGUACUAAACACAUUGAAGUUGAUUUUCAUUUUGUACACGAGAAGGUUUCCUCAGGAUCUCUCAGUGUGCGCUAUGUUCCAAGCAAUUGUCAGCUUGUUGAUAUUUUUACAAAAUAUUUGUCGCAACUGGCACAUUUGGUAUUAGAAUCAAAUUGGGUAUGGGUUCUUUACCCCUUCCCAAUUUGCAGGGGAUGUUAAAGGACAUGAAGUCAGGAAGUAUGUUGAGUCAACGAAGGCAUCAACGAAUGCUACUGAUUCAAUCAGAGUUAAAGACAAUAAGUUAAAUUAUGCUGAUAUGAACAAAGACAAGCAAAAUAAAGUCAGCACGUGCUCAUUGAAGAAUCAAUAUUCUGUUUUGAGUUGUAACCAACAUUCUUUCUGUUAGUAUUUCUGUUAAGUCUGUUUUGAUAGUUUGUUUUUAGUCGAGCCUUUUACACUUUAUAAUAUAAAUAGAGAGUUGAAAGAAGAACAGAAAGAUAAGGCUCUUAGAUAUACUUUUCUUUGAUCUUGAAUGAAUACAAAGACUCCAUAGUUUUCUCUCAUCUCUGUUCUUUCUUCUCUGCUUCUUCAUCUCUGUUAUCUUCGUUUUCGUCUCUGCUUUCUUCUUGUCUUUCACAAGAUUGGGGACGGCACAAUUUUCUGUACGCCUUCCCAUUUGUUUAUCUAAUAUGCGUAAAUUGUCUUGAUGUGAUCCCCGAUGCUUUGGCUAUUCUUAUCAUUCUCAUAGUCUUUUUGGGUGGCGAUCCAUAGAUGUCACCAUUUUAUUAUAUGAUACAUGCCAUCGGCACAGUAAAGAGAACAUGGAGUUUGUGUGAUUACAUGCCUAUACCGGCAUUUCAAAUGAUGGAGAAAAUCUUUUAUACCAGAUUCUUGAUCUCAUCUAAGUUCUGAAUUUUCAGCAAAUGUCAAAUUUAGUGGGAAGCUACUUCUCAUAUAACAUGAGCAAACUAAGUUGUAAUAAUUUCAUUCUGAAGAUUUAUUUAUUUUUCUUUAUCUUCAUCAAGUUAAGACAGGCGUGCUCACAUAUGGAUAAAGGAAGAGAUAGGAUAGUUCAAGGAAUAAACACAAAUUUUUAUGGGAUAAUGAUAGUUUCACUAGUUUAUGAAAACAAUAGUUGAAGGAGGUGUUGGUGAGGGAGCUAUGUGGUUUUUAUGGUUAGCUCCCACCCAAAACAUGGAGCACUUGCUCCUUUAUAUAAGCUGCCAAAGUCGGUGGAGGAAGACUCUAGACUUCUCUACAAAUAGCUACUAUUAUUUUAUAGUAACAUAAGAUGGAGUGUUCUAGAACACUCAAGAGAUGGCAGCUUGUUGGUUGUCUUUUCAUUGUUUGUUUCUCACGUCCACUAGAGUUGUCUAGAUUGGACUAGAGAAUUCCAUGUCAAAAAUUGGAUCACAAAUUCCAACAAUAUGGUUAUGAUUUUACACUGAGAUACAGGAAUUUGGAAAACCUACACUUACCAAAUAAUUUUGCCAAAUGACACCAUAUUAAGAACAAGCUCUUAUUAUCUUUUCAAAAUCAUCAGUAGUUCACUGGGUACAUGUGUAACUUUAUAAAAUAGAGUGAGAUUGGGUUAAAUCUGCAAACUCUUUAGGAUUUGUUUUUAGCUAUGUUGAUCAGGAGGUUGUAUGCAUGGAUACUAACAUAAAGGUGGGCAGCAUGAAAAUCCUCUCUUUGCCUUUCGGGAAGCAGUGCCUUUUGCUAAAGUGCAUGUCAGAGGUUUUACCGUGCAAUUGCUUAUGUGCACCGCACCCUUUGAUAAAGUUGUAUUGGUUAUCCCUUUCCUUCCUUUUUGUUUCUCUAGGACUUUUUCAGUGUCAGUUUUCUGUUGAUUGAUCAAUGUUACCAUAUAAUUAGCUUCUAAAGGGGUCGAUAUUCUUCAGUCAUUCUUCUUCAUAUUGUGUAUGUAAUUGCUAUACAUCAACAGGUUACUUUGUUUUGUUUAGUGAAAGUAUGUAGUCAUGUGGAGAGGUGUUUGACGAUUAUAGCAUUCUUAAUUAAAGAGAACCGUCUUUUGCUGGACUUUGCAGUGGUGCCCAUCUCAGAUGUAAUAAGGGUUCGCACAGGUAAUAUGUCAAUUGCCUAGUGACUUAAUGAAGAACGUAUGCUAUCUGCUUGUUCCAGAAACACCCUAACAAAGCUGAUGUUCAGUUAAGCGUGGAGACAAGGGCGAGAGGAUGAGCGGAGGCCGGGCCAACAUGUUCUCGACUUCCUAACAUCUACAGGUUGUCGAUGCUUCAGCAAAGCUCUAGUUAGCAUCCAUUACCCGAUUCACUCCCUGUAAAAGUUUCUGAAACUUUUAUCUGUGUUUGAAGAGUUUAUUGUCAACACCAGUCGUGUCUGAGUCAUGGGACCAUGGUUGAUUAGGUUCAUUAGACGGUCCAAGAGGAAGAAAUGGGUCCAAAUAACUGGCUUCUUAUGCGGUGCCUUGUCUGAAGGAGUGCUGUCAUUUACCUUGGCUGCUGAGGGCCAUGCGGCAUCA
rnacentral:lncRNA from 1 species